rnacentral:rRNA from 1 species
GGACUACUAGGGUUUCUAAUCCUGUUUGCUCCCCACGCUUUCGUGUCUCAGCGUCAGUAUUCGUCCAGUUGGCCGCCUUCGCCACCGGUGUUCCUCUCGAUAUCUACGAAUUUCACCUCUACACCGAGAAUUCCACCAACCUCUCCGAUACUCAAGCCAUGCAGUUUCGGGUGCACUUCCCAGGUUAAGCCUGGGGCUUUCACAUCCGACUUGCGUGGCCGCCUACACACGCUUUACGCCCAGUAAUUCCGAACAACGUUUGCACCCUCUGUCUUACCGCGGCUGCUGGCAC